UUAAGUGCAUAAUUAAAAGUGGUAGGACAGUUUAGCCACUAUAUAAUUCAAUAAACAGUGAUAAAUCGCUACGUAGGGGAGUUUAUGUUUAAAUUUUUUCUAUUACCUUUAAUACUAAGCAUCUUGUGGUUCGGAUUCUUACAAUAUAAUAACUGGACCAUACAACAAGGUAAAAAAGGCUUUAUCUAUAUUAUUGGUGGUACAACGGCUACCAUCGCAUUUCUUAGUUUGAUGAUAUUUUUAACUCAAUAGCAACCAACUUUA
rnacentral:misc_RNA from 1 species